GCUAGGAAGGAAAAGGAAACAGAGAGGCUCGCCCUGACUCCCAGGCAGAUGGCCUACAGAGUAUAAUCCUGUAGAGAGUAGAUAGGCUCCUGAAGAUAACCCUGGGUCAAGUGGAAAAGGACAUGUUUGAUAUAUUUUCUGUUAUUCUGAAGUCCUUGAAGAAAAGGGACUGGAAUCCUGUGGCUGGAGUGCUCUUUGGUGCAUAGGCUGGUAAAUUAGCCUGCUGCUUAUAUACUAUUUUUGUAAAAUGUGUUUCUGAAGUGAUUCUGAACAUCAACAGUGGUGCGCAGGGGCAAAACAGGGCUUGUGUGUUACAAAGGGCUACAGGAGAAAUGUGCGGUGGGUCCUCUAGUGGAGUCUCCAUGCCAAUUUAGGCUAAAGUGGAGAGACUGCACGAUCUGUGCUUCCCUGGCUCCAGUGGCCCUAUGAAUCAGUGCAAGAGGCACAGAAGAACUGCAGAUACUAUACCAGCCUUGGCUGCAAGGCCUCCUCUGAAGCACUGUGUCAUGACCAGGAGGUAGACUGUGCUUCCUGCAUGGCUUUAUGAUGCUGGGGUAAAUUUCAACAUUAAUUAUUUCAAUCUGAUUCCUUCAUAUUACCCAAGAUUCAAGUGAGAACAUGCUACAUUUUCCAUUUGACUGAAACAGUACAGAAGGCCAGCUGCCACCACACUCCAAGAAAGCCCCUGUAAGUUCCUUUGUAUAACGGUUACAUACCCUGUCCUUUCCUGAAGGCGUGGGGAGGGACUAUUAAUUUUUUAAGGUAUGCAUGGGGUCGGGGAGAAAUAGAUUUUAAAAUCAACACUUAUUCUAGAAGAUUCUUUUGCUAGGAUAUUUCCCUUAGUCAAAUACAGGUUCUCCUACUGGGUCACACAAGUUAGAUUGGAUUAGAAAUAAGGAUGGUAACAUGCCCUGCCUUCCUUCAGCCACAUUUACAUUUGGAUUAUGGUUUAAUGUGAUCUGUGCAGUGGUGCUGGAACUAGAGAUACUGGAGGUGCAGCCGCACCCCUUGGCUUGAAGUUUUAACACCAAAUACAUGGUUUCCAUCAGCAGCACCCCCACUAUAAAUAUUGCUACAGCACCCCUGGAGCCAUGUACAUUUAAGCAUGAAUUCACCCAACCGAUCCCCUCUAGCACACUGUCACCCCUGCUCAUCUUAUGUCAAAAGUGGAAGUGUAUGGCCAUACAUUCAAUUAGGACACUGACACCGUUUGAAACAGAUGAGAUUUGAGGUCUAGAUGAGAUGGGAUCUAGGAGAAGCCAAGCCUUCCUCAGUUGAAGGAUCAUUAGGAUGCCAUAUGGGGUUAUGGGUCAGGGGAAAAGAGACAAAAAGUGAACAGACUGUAGCCUCAAAGCACCGGGGGAGGGAGGGGGAGAGGGGAUUAGACAAUAUAAGAACUGUUAGAAGUAACAAAAUAUUGAAAGUUUCAAUGUGGAUUCUUGACAGUAUAAAAGGAUAGGACUGUCAAAUUUAAGACUUACCUGCUAGUGCAACUGGUGCAGUUUCAGAUGUUGUUUAAUAUGUAUUCAAAUUUAUGUCCAGCUGACAAACAAGAUUUAAAGCAGAUAAUACUUUGUACAGAGUCUCAGCAUAAGAAUAAAAAUAUGCUUGUACAGAAGAUAUACUAUUGCAGCAAGCUACACCUUAGGAUCAUGAAAACUGAAACUGUAUUUACAAAGAUUAUUCACAGCUAAAUGCAAUAUUGCUUUCAUUUAUGAUAAAUUCCUGCAUAUGGUUUUUGUGCACAUUACAUAUGAGUUAGUUCUAGAAGAGCAAGUCAACUAACCUAUUUUGAAGACCCUGUUUUCAAAAGGGAAUGUUAUUUCAUUGUAAUAAAAAACACAGUUUGCUACACAAUGCAAGAAAUCUAUCAUGUCUAAAUGCAUUAAGCAUUACAGAAGUCAAGUCUCACAUGUCCAUAAAAGCCAGCAACUCAUAAAUUCAGCUUCCCACAACAGUUACCCCAGGUCAAGUGCUAGUAUAAAUGGCACCAAAAUUAGCCAAACAUAAGCCAGGUCUAGACUGGGUAGUUAAGAUUACACCAUCAAGUGCCACACAAGUGAAUUAAGUAUAAUUGCCAAAACUAAUAAAAAAUGGGGCUUAAAAUACAUAAAAUAGUCUCUUAAGUGAUUUGCCAGAUGUCCAUAAGACAAUCUUUGGCAAAGAGUUUCACAUUUUGGAGAUAUGUAGACAUAAGCUUGUCAAAGAUCUAAAUUUUCCAAGAGACUGUAUGCUAUUAACUGGUGCUUUAUUUUUGGUAUCUGGAAAUCCAUACAUGUUUAGUCACAGAAGUAAUUCUUUAAAGUAAAACUGACAUAUUAUAUUGUAGAACUUCAUUUCCAGAUUUUAUUUGAUUAUUAAUAGAUAUAAUGGUUUGAAUUCUUGUACCAACUUGAUAUUUUAAGGACAUCUUGUAUGUUUACAGAAGUGUUAAAUAUAGAGUAAAGUGAACUUCCAUAAAGCAAUAAGAUAUUUUAGCAUGAUCCUUGGCUUCAGAUACUGAAAGAGACAAAGGGGUGGCUGUACAAAUAAUAUGAAAAUAUCAUUACAACUCUUUAAGCAACACUGCAAAUAUCUUGUAGUCUUUCCUGAGCCAGCAAACAGCUGAAGGAUGAAAAUAAAUGCUUACACAUCUGCAUCAUAACAGACGUUAAGACAAAUUAUUUUAUUCUACCACUGGCAAUAGUUUCCUUUUUUAAAAAGCCUCAUUGUACAGAAUCAGAUCAACAAAGCCACCUUCAGACAGACUGCAUCAAGGUCAGAGUUGGAAACGUGUUUGCAAAGUAGAGAAAUAUUGUCCUAUUGGGGAUAAUUACUGAAGUAGUAUAGAACUCUAAUUACCACUGCGGUGACAAAACAUUUAUUUAGAGAGUGAAGAUACUCUACGCAUACUCAUUCUAUGCAACUGCAAGAUACUGUUAGAAGCAAGAUGCACAUUAUAAAUGUUAAAGUCAAUGAAUACAGAGCAACGUUUUAUGUGGUGGAAUUUUGUAGAAUACGCAUGAACUCACGUUGGACAGUACAAUCGAAAUGAGGUUUAAGGGGCCUAAUGUGAGUAGCUCCAAUUGAGGACAAGUUGAAGGAGGCUGGGCUACACUGGUACGGGCAUAUCCAGCGGAGACCCAAGAGUUAUAUCAGUGGGAUGGCUCUUGACGAAAGAUGGCUAAUGGGGAGACCAAAGACUCUGUACGCAGACCAGGUAUCAGUGGACUCCGGAGAGACCAAUCUGCAUGACAGCCGAGAAGAAGGAUACAAGAGUCGCCAACCCCGAAUAAGCGAAGUGUCAAGAACGAGGGGGCAGCAGCAUGAACUCAUCUGUGUAAACACACACACACACACUCUAUAAUGGUCUGGAGUUCUUUUUUAAAAAUCUAUAUUAGAAUGAACAGUCAAAUUAGUGGUUUGAAAAAGUCAUUUUUAAAUACUCCUUCACAGAGUACUACUUGAUUUUCAUGAGCUUAUAUUCUUACUGAAAGAUAAUUUUGCUUAGAUGUAGUUGCUGUACUGCAGGAAUUAAUUCAGAAAGUAACCUUUAAUAAAAUUUAAAAAAAAAAUCUCCCCCUCUUCCCAGAACAGUAAAAUUUUAUUCUGCACCAACUAACUGUUGCUCACAGUAACAUCCAUGGGUAGGUGCAGUCAAUCAUAUCACUAGUUACUUCAGUCAUGGAAGGGUCCUUUGGUAACUUCAGUGAAACCAAAAUUACACAUUUCUGAUGUUUAGUCAACUAAAUUUCUGUUUCCACACAGAAGAGCAACAUAAGGAUACAAAUAAAAGGCAAAUGACUACAAGCAGGUUCUGGGUUAGAUAUUGAUAACUCUACAAUAGUUAAAAGAAAGCAUGUACUGUACUUCUCAUCCACCACUAACCAUGAAGUCAGCUUUGUCCUUUGAGAGAUACAAUAACCUUCAGUCUUUAAUAGCCAUCAAUUAAGUACAUUUGUACGGGACAUAUUUUUAAACUUAAAUAUUGAUUUACUGGAAUAAUUUAUUGAACUGAUUAAGAUGCAGGUUUACUAAUUGACGAGGAAAUGAUGAAUGGAAAAAGACAGUAAAAUGACAAAUUAGCACAGCUCUGGGGAUUUUUAUAAAUUUUAAUUGCUACUAUAAUUUCAGAGUCAGGUUGCUUAUUUAGAAAGAUUGACAGAAAUGCUCCUUGAGAAGGAAAGACAAUACACCAAGUCAAUGUCAUUCUGGCAUGGUAGAUUUAUUUUUGUAAUCCUGACUUAUAUCGACGCCAGCUUUGCAGAAAGGUCAUCUGCUAUUAAUUCAAUACAAAGUUCACCUGUUUAAUUCUGUUUAAGGUUUUCAUAGAAACCAAAGAAGAAACUAAAAACUAAGUCUGGUUCUGUAAAGAAGGGUAUCAGAUAUUGGCCACUGCUGGAGGAAGACACCAGACUAGAUGGGACAUUUCCUAGUAUUACAGGUUAUAUCAAAAUAUUAAUGUUUAACAGAAGUGAAAAUGGAGGGAGGGAGGGAGGGAGGGAGAGAGAGAGGGAGAGAGAGAGAGAGAAAAAAAAAAAAAAUCGCUACUGGUUAUACUGUGGGCAUUAUGCAUGUCAGACUGGAAUAACUUCUUUAUGUAAGCAUAUACUUAGGACCUUAAAAAAAAAAAGCCUUUUAUGGAGAUGAAUCAAUAUAGCUCCUCUGGAGCUGUUAAUGUUUCAUCAUUUAAAUAUGUAGUCAUCAUUUUAGGAGCCAUAUUAAUUACAAAAUGGAACACAAUAGCUCUGUUGGAGCCUUUCCAGUCUAUUACAUGUUUAGGAUAUUUAUUUAGCACCAUCAGUGCUCAUAGCACGUUAUUGUAAAGUUUGCCAAACGAAGAAUAAAGAUCAGAAUCCCUACCCAAAAACGAACUAUGAAAAAAGAGAACACUCAACUGUGCUGUUGGUAUAAUUUCUUUGAAAAUUGAGAAAUAUUAAUGUUUAAAAUCUAUUUUGGGACAGAUGUUAAAAAAAGAACAGCAGUGAAAUGUCACUGCCCUGGCUGCUCAGGUGAAGGGAAGAUCACAAAUCAUGUAUGGCAAGUCCCCCCCCACCCCACACACCCAAAGCGAUUCCCGCCCCAUCACCGAAAGCACGUUCCGGAGCUGUUACUGGCUAUGAGAGAAGUACACCUAUUCCUUCAAGAGCUGUAGCUCACGAAAGCUUAUGCUCAAAUAAAUUGCAAAUGGACAGGACCUUUGAGCAAAGGGGAUCCCAACCCUUGUGGAAAGUCUGCAAAGACCUGGGGCCCAGCUAAGACAGAAAGACUGAGGAGUGACCUCUGUCAGGUUGAAACUGACGGAGCAUGCUUCAAGUUGGCUUUUGACAUGCUUUUGAAAAACCACCACUCACACUACAACACUUAUUCAAAAGUCAAAACAUAACAUAUGAACAAGCAAUUACUUGGUCUGCAACUCUGGACUGAAAAAAUGCACAGAACUCAAGCUCACAGCACUACACCAUCAAAAGAAGUCUAAGCACACAUCCCCUCUCCUUAAAUUUGUGUCUGUUUCUAUUGUACAGUAUGAAGUUUCUAUAAAGGGGUUUCUAAAUCAGGAAGAUGGUAUGAAGAAAACAACAUACUUGUGUUAUAUGGCAAAAUAGAACACACUGAAGACUACAAACAAAAGGCCUCUCUACUAUAGGAAAAACUUGAUCCAGCCGAGAAAAUGUAUUUGAAGUCUUCUACAAAUUUAUUACAUAUCUUUAAAAGUAUUUUCUUGGGCUAGUAACUGUCCUGUGGUAGGUGUUGUGUCUACGUUCCGCUGACUCACUAAGGCAAGUAGCUCAAUACGGUUGAAUAUAAAGGAGGUGGGAGUGGGCUAAUAGAGAGCAGCUACAGGACAUGAGUUGAGCAGUCCUAAGCUAAAAAACCCAGGAAAAAAUCAACGCUGGAAUCAGUGACUGAGCUGAACACUAUGUAGUAUUAUUAUUAAUUUCUGUGUUAAAGCAGCCAGUGGGGUCCUAAUCCAAGACUAGGGCUCCUAGGUGUUAUGAUAAUACAAACAAUGACAAUAAUCAGGAGGGAGGAAUUUUAGACUCUACCACAUAUGUGGACUACUUUAGAGCAGUUUGGGAAAGGCACCAAAUCACACAUAUAUCAGCAUCAAUAUUUUAAAGUUAUUGUGCCCAUUAAACACUCACUG